rnacentral:lncRNA from 1 species
AUCGUACAUUUGUUUUCAAUUACAUACGUAGUACCGUGACUGAUAGAUCUCAGGGCCAUCAUGGCAUGGUAGCACUCGCGAGAUGUUAUAAACCAGCGUACGUGUUCGGCAUCGAGCGACCUCCCAAUUGAACUCGUCAAAAUUACAUGCUAGGUCAGUUUCGUAUGUUUCAGACAAUAUUGAGAUUUGUUCGUUUGUGAUAUUUCCUACAACACGAUGAAGCAGAUACAGCACAAAGAAGCGAUUUUCUGAUAACUUGACGCGACCCCACUCUCCAGGUGCCUUAUCAUAUGGUCUAUGAACGCAAAAUAUAAUGAGACUUUCCAAUACUGUUUUGGCGUGGUUGCAGGGUGAUUGGCUCCGGUAGUCUGUCAACCACAUCGCCUCGGCAUAUUUUCA